rnacentral:rRNA from 1 species
UACGGAGGGGGCUAGCGUUGUUCGGAAUUACUGGGCGUAAAGCGCGCGUAGGCGGCUUUGUAAGUUAGAGGUGAAAGCCCGGAGCUCAACUCCGGAAUUGCCUUUAAGACUGCAUCGCUAGAAUCAUGGAGAGGUGAGUGGAAUUCCGAGUGUAGAGGUGAAAUUCGUAGAUAUUCGCAAGAACACCAGUGGCGAAGGCGGCUCACUGGCCCGGAACUGACGCUGAGGUGCGAAAGCGUGGGGAGCAAACAGG